rnacentral:rRNA from 1 species
GCUCAGGAUGAACGCUAGCUACAGGCUUAACACAUGCAAGUCGAGGGGUAGCAGGGUAGCAAUACCGCUGACGACCGGCGCACGGGUGAGUAACACGUAUCCAACCUUCCCAUAACUCGGGGAUAGCCUUUCGAAAGAAAGAUUAAUACCCGAUAGUACUUAUAUAAGGCACCUUAAAUAAGUUAAAGAUUUAUUGGUUAUGGAUGGGGAUGCGUUCCAUUAGAUAGUUGGUGAGGUAACGGCUCACCAAGUCUUCGAUGGAUAGGGGUUCUGAGAGGAAGGUCCCCCACAUUGGUACUGAGACACGGACCAAACUCCUACGGGAGGCAGCAGUGAGGAAUA